AACCAACUCAUUAGCAGUCAUGUAAACACAGCCUAAACUGUUAUUUCCGAGCUUGCGCAUUAACGUUUUAUUGUGAAUACAGCCUUAUGCAUAUUCAAAGAUUUAAUGUGAUUUGUACUUGUAGUUCAAAGUUAUUAGUGUUAACGUCAAAGCAACUGCAUUAGAAGAAAAAAAUUUCAAAAUUGAAAUAAACGAAAAUAUAAAAGAAAUUCCAAUAUCAAUUGAACAGGGAGAAAUGGAAAGUAAUCAAAGCUUUUCCUAUUGGCCACAAUCUUUAAUGUCCUUUAUCAGUAUAUUGCUCAAACCUGAAACACACAGAGGAAAUUCAAACAUCUGGAAAAUCUUCUCAAUUGGUCACAAUGGCUGAUAACCAAUAGUUAGUAAUUCGUUCGGACAUUAAGCGAAUAAAGUACAAUUAAGGGAAAAAUUCUUUUAUUUUGCCACAACCACUUCAACGUCACGAUGUUCCAAUUGAUGAUACGUGGAAAUAUAAGGAGCAACGAAGAGCGCAAUAAUUAUGUUCUUCUGACAACGAACAAAUCUAAUUGGAAUAUUCCACUCUCUGAUGAUAAAUUGUGAAAAAUAUUAAGUAGUUAGUUCUAACAUCAAGCGACCAGAGCAAAAUAAAAUAGCUGCAAAGUGGAUAUCAGCAGCUAUAUAGGCAGUAAUUUGUUCAAACAUAAAGCGAACAAAGGGAAGUCAAACAACUGCAAAGCCUUUGCAAUUGGACACAAUAGUUUUAAUUGUAGGUAUAGAAAUCCGUUCAAACAUCAAGCAUUUUACAUCUUGUCGUUGUGAAUGUGAACAAACAUUUAAUUUCUUGGACGCAAAUGAAAGUUCAAAAAUCCAGGAUACUUGCUACUUUUUCAUACCAAAACAUUUGUAAGCAAUAAAAGUUAAAUAUAACCGUGAAAUCAUCACAAAACUCUAUGAGUGCAUUCUCCAGAUGUUGACCGAUGGGUCCUUUCCUUUUUUUUCGUUUUCCCACGAUUGGUCCAAGAGUUCCUGUCGCCAAGAUUUCGUUCUGUUGAAAAUAUCAAGUUACGAGUCUGUUUUAUUUCUAUUUGUUAAAAAUAAUCUCUCACGCGUUGAAAUAAUCAAUUUUAGUAAAUUCUUAAUUGUUUGUUUAAUUAUUAGUUAACUUUAAAUAUUGAUAUUUCAAAUUAAUUUAUUAUUCAUAUGUCACGUCCCCGUGACGUAUUUAACAUAUACGUAUUUUUCGAAUAAAAAUUAUAAAAUUAAUAUUUGUUAAAACAAAUUAUAAAAUUAUUAACAAACUUAUUUGUAUAUGUAUCUCUGAGUUGAGAAGUAUUAUAAAGGGUGACCCACUCAUUUUUUCAGUCAGCGGGUAACUUUUCGUUCUGUAUGUUUCAACUGUAUCUAUAUCGGGUAGAAUGUAAAAUUUUUAAAUAAACUAGUUAAAAUUUUAAUUAAAGAAAAUAAAAGACAAAAUUUCAUCAUUAUGCAAUUAGUAUCAUAUAAUAUUUUGAAAUAAAAAUUUGGUAAAGAGAAAUACUAAAAACUAAAAAUUCAGUCAAUAGUCCGGUGCCUGGAAAUUUUGAUAAGUAAAAAUUCUUUUAAAUUCGAAAAAUUAAAAUUCGACUAAAACAUAAUUAUACCAAAUAAAUUCUUUAAAAUAAAUAUAUUCUAACCAUUAAUUUUUGUGGUGACUUUAUACGCAUAAAGGUCACGCAAUCCCUGGCCCCUAUAUAUACAAAAAGAUAAAUAAAUUUUUAAAGUUUCAAAAGCCACCUUGAAGUAGUUUUCGAUUAUUUAUAUAAUCCUGAAUUUUCAAAGGAGAGAAUAAGUAUAGACAAUAUUACACAAGAGUUAUACUGAUAUAAUACUUUAUUUAAGACUUAGAUGUAAUUAAUGUAAUAUCUUAAAAUAUUAAUUAAUAUCCGUAGCAGUUAAUAAAUCUGCUAUUAAAGCAACGCCAUGCGCGAUUCUGAGUUUUUUUUCACAUGAAUAUAAGAAAGAAAGUCAUUUCAGUUUUAUGUUAAGUUUUUUUUUUUUUACAUAUAUCGAUAAAAGUUUCUCAUCUGUCUUUUUAUCACUCAAUGUCUUUAUUCUCUUCCUGCGAUCGAAAUCAAGUGUAUUUUUUAUAAAUUUAAUUUUCUUUUAUUUAUUUAUUUAUUUAUUUAUUUAUAUAUUACGUAUCAGUGACGCUGUAUGACGCGAUUAUUAUGCAAAAGAGAUCGAUGGCUUCAACUAUAAACAAUGAGAACAUAAAAUUUGAUUUCCAUAUUUUUAAAUUUUGAUAACACUUUCUCUAUUUUUUAUAUUCAAAAUCAAUUUUAUGUGUCGCAUUAAAUAAAUACUGAAAAAACGUAUAACAAUAAUUGUUACUACGGAUUGUCGGUAGUUUUAAACUACUUAUACUCUUAAUAUGAUUCUAGUUCGACAAGCUUGAAUAUACUUUUUUUUUAACAAUAAGCGUAGAGUUGACGAGAAUCAUGGUCUUCGAUUUUUAAUGAAAAAUGCUGAGGUAGACUCAUGACAUAUGAUGUGAUAAAGAUAUUAAAAAAUUUGCUUUUUCAAAACGCAAAGAUUGUCAAAUUUUUGGAAAUUACAUUUCUGCUUUUUUCACAGCAUAUUGUAAAAAUAUACUCAUUAUAUUUUUUCACAUGAAGAAAAAUGGAUAUUCCGAUAUAGUAUGCGGACAAUUUAUUUAAUAAUCAAAAUACUUAAAUUUAAUAUCAGAUAUUCAAUAUCUUUAAAUUUCAAUUAAUUCGAUAGAAAAAAAACCAGUCUUUAAUUAAAAUAAAGAAUAUUUAAAAUAUUAUUUUUAAUUAAUAUCCAUGUUGCUCGGAAAUAAUGAGCAAAAAUAUAAAGGUUAUUUUUGUGAUUUAUAGACGCAGAUAAUUUUAAACUUCUGCGUAGAAUUUUCUUUUUU